CAGGCACCCUACUGAGAUGAGUUCUUUUUAAAAGAGCUACUUUCCAUGGCGAAUCCAUUUUGGCGAAUAGAAAAUUCAUCAUGCUUACCACACCAAGUAGCAGGAAGGCAGGCUUGCCAGCCGUCCCCUCCUUCCUUGCCCUAGUCUCCAGUACUGUUCCAGCUGGCCUGUAACCUCCAGAAUCCUCCCACGGAUAUGCAGAAAAAAAGAUCCGAAUACUGUCAGCCUGGAGUGGAAUCGAAUGAGCUGUGUAUGAACAGCUGUCCUAAGCAGUUAGAUUCCCUGAGCCUUUUGCCAAAAGAUAAGUAUUUCAUGCCCUGGAAAGGGAGCCUGGAGCUUAACAAUAUAAAAAUUGGAAUUAGUUGAGAGUACUACAACAUCUGAGGAUCUCCAUGAUCUGAAACUAACUUAUUUUGUUUACCACUUCAUUAUAUGACGCUUAGCAUUACAUUCAUACUGCAUGAGACUAUUCCCCAUUUUUGACAUAACACUGUACUUUUACUCACUUCGGGCACCCUGGCUUAUACCAUCAGCCUUACGCUCUAUUACUUUUCCCUCCUUCAUCCCUAAAUGUUCAAGCUCUACGUCUUCAUUUGGGCCUUAAAGAGUAAAUAGGUAUUCUAUAUAUUGAAACCACACCUUACAAUACUUUACAAUACUGAAGAGUGGUUUAGAUAACACUUGCUCUCUUGCUUUCAUGUUAAUGUUACUAUUCUGGGGGGAUAUUUCUGGAUUGGUUUUCUUGAUAGAUGAAAUGGCCUGUGAAUGCAGUCAGUGAGUUGGAGUUCAUGAAGGUAUUCAGGGUUGAAUAUCUACAAAGUCUGCUUUUUCUGCCUUGGAGAACUGUGGUUUCAUGAUUGAGUUUGUCACAUGGUGAAUAAGCAAAGAGAAAACAAUCUUCAUGAAGUUUCAGCUUCAUUGCCAAAGAGUGGUUUUCAAAAUGGCAAUUUGCUGCUUCCAUGUUGUAGUGUAACAUUUUGUUUACCCUCAGUUGUUAAAAUCAAUUGCGGUUGGUUGCAAUUCCUGAGGGGCCUACCUUUAUAAUGUAAGGUUUGAAUAAUUUGUCAAAAGUGCUAAGCUCUAGAUUUAUAGUUUCAAAAAAAAAAUAAAAAAAAAUCCUUUGAUUUUCCCAAAGUGAUACUAUGAACCUUUGAAAUGGCUUGACUUUGCCCAGGUUUCCCUGCAGAGCAUACAGGCUUUGUGGUCAGUAUUUUGAUCCCCAAAGGAAUGCCUUUUGGAAAUGCCAAGCUAGCACAAAUGCUGAAGCUUAUAAGUGCCUGCUGCUCUACUACUACUGUUGUGUGUCUUGUUGAAGUUUCCUUUAUGUACUUCAAAGACAUUGAAACAAAUCAGAAAACUGUAUCAAGGGGUGAGGGAAAAUAGCAGGAGAGAUUACAUUUCAUUGUUUCUUUUAUUCUUCAGUUCUAGUUCCUAGACUUUCAGACAAGUAGAGUGAGAUGAAAGAUGGUGCCUGCUGUUUUACUGAAAGAGUCUUGGUUCCUGUUGCUCAGGACAAUUGUGAGGCUGAAGCAUUGAAGAAAUGUAAGAAAUUAUUGGAAUUGCCUCACAGAAGAUGGGCCCAGCUGAUCUUUGGUACUUUUUCCAACAUUUAUAUAAACACAUUAUCUCACCAUGUGUUUGCUUAAGUAAGAUUGCAGAUUUCAGUAGGCAUACUCACCAAAUUGUGAAUCUGGAACUGGGAGAGUAGAUUGGUCUGUGAUUUUCCCUGGAGUCAUAGGAACAGAGUGUUCAAAUUUCUACCUCGUUUACGUUUUGGAUUGGGUACCAUGUGCUAAAGGAAUGUGCAGUGGCCUGAGAGACUCCUGCUAUUUUCAAGAAGGUUCUACCUGAGGAGUUAACUACAGAAUAGUAACACAGUGGAUUAAUAUGGUACUUUUACUUUUCUCCUUUUUAUUAUUUCCUUCCUUCCUGCCACAAACAGCUGUGCACUUACAAUCUAUCUAUAUGAACAAAAGAAUUAUUCGUUCUAGUACUCACAUUUGCUUGUAGGAGUUCGAAUUUUGUUAGCAUGAGUUUAAGUCUUUAGGAAAUUGGAUAGGCAAUAUCCACUUAAUUUUUCAUUUUAUCUAUUCAUUGAAGGAAAGGCACUAUAUUUCAGUAGAAACAACAAGAAAAUAUGAAUACGAUUUUGGUGCACUGAUUUCUUGUUUGGCCAUUUUUCUUUCUGCUGACGAAAGAGAGUCUGUAAAGAGAUGAAAAGAUCUAUUUGGAAUAGACUAUGUCUUAUGCAAUGGAAAUACCUUUUAUUUUGGCAUUGAGGGUGAAUGGAGAAAGCAUCUACUGUGUUUGCAUCACACCUCUAUGAAAUAAAGCAUGGCAUAGUAUUUAUGCCACUGUCUUAUUCCAUUCAGUGUUGCUAUAAAGGAAUAUCUGAGGAUGAAAAGACAUUUAUUUGGCUCAUUCUGCAGACUGAGCAAGAAACAUGGCACCAGCAUUUGCUUCUGGUGAAGGCCUCAGGCUGCUUCCACUCAUGGUGGAAGGUAAAGGGGCCUGUUUUGUAGAGAUCACACAGUGAAAGAGAAAACAAAGAGAGCAAUAGACAUGCUGGGCACUUUCUAACAUCCGACUCUAGCAGGAACUAACAGAGUGAGAACCCACCCACCACCCCAACACUCCCUCCAGGGAAGACAUUGAUCUAUUCAUGAGGAAUCAGUGCCCAGCACCCAAACACUUAUUAGACCCCACUUCCAACAUUGGAAUCAAAUUUCAACAUGGGAUUUGGAGGAAACAAACAUCAAAAACAUAACACCUACUGAUAUCUUCUGUUCUUAUAAUCAGGAUUCUCACUCUGAAUAGACAAUAAAGAAAGAAGAGAAAACCCAUACCACCAACCUAAGCCGUUUAACCCAAUUUUUAAUUUAAAACUAUAUGAAUAAGUAAACAUAAAUCAAUUAGCAGAAAUUUCAUCAAAGCUAGCAACACAAAAGAUAAUGAAAAAGGGGAAAAAGAAAAGAAAAAAAACAACUAACUCUGGAUAAAUCAAUAAAAUUCAUGGAAGAAAAUAGAACUUUAAAUGCAUUUCAUUUAAAAGCUUACAGCAAUCCAAUGAUUUUUUUUUUCCAUCAAAUAAACCAACAUGCUCCUUUUAGAAAGGAGAAGUCUUCAAAAAGGAAGAGUUAAUGUCAAUUUAAAAUAUUGGCCAAAAUUUUUAAAGUUAACAGUAGAACUGGAGAAAAGUUCAAGUAAAUCUUGUAGAAUAUUAUUUAAAUGAAAAUGUAAAGUUUGACAGAAAAGAUGAAAGACAGAGAGAGACAACAUCCAUCUAAGUGAAAACAAAGGGGGGAAGUUUUGAAGAAACCUCAGAAGAAAUACAUACAGUGCUAAGCAGGGUUAAAGCAGAAAGAUAGAAUGCAGCAAAAACAAAAAAAAUUAAAAAUUGUUUCCAUAGGUUAUUUGGGAACAGGUGGUGU